rnacentral:rRNA from 1 species
AUACCCUAUUAUUUUUAACGUAAAUUUAUUAAACCAGAGUAUUAGUAGGUAUAAUCUUGAAACUUAAAGAAUUUGGCGGUAUUAUAGAUCUAUUUAGAGGAAUCUGUUAAAUAAUCGAUAAUCCACGCUGAACCUUACUUAUAUUAAUUCUUGUAUACCACUGUUAAGAAUAUAUUAUAAGGUUAUGUUCAUAUAAAAUUAUUGUUUAUAAUUUCAAGUCAAGGUGCAGUAAUAUAUAAGAUGAUUAAUGGAUUACAAAGAAUUUUAUUUUAUUACGGAUAAUAAUUGAAAUAUAUAUUUGAAGGUGGAUUUAAUUGUAAAUUUUAGAAGAUUAUAUAAUUGAAUGUAGCUCUUUAAUAUGUACACAUC